UCCAGGGUAGCCUAGUGGACAUGGCACCUGCCCGGUAAGCAGAAGGUUGUGGGUUCGAUUGCCGCCCCUGGAC